rnacentral:rRNA from 1 species
AGAAUCAACGCUGGCGGCGUGCCUCAGACAUGCAAGUCGAACGAUUAAAGCUCUCUUCGGAGAGUGUAUAGAGUGGCGCACGGGUGAGUAACACGUAAGUAAUCUACCUUCGAGUGGGGAAUAACGUUCGGAAACGAACGCUAAUACCGCAUAAUGCAGCGGCAUCAUAAGAUGACAGUUGUUAAAGGAUUUAUUCGCUUGAAGAGGAGCUUGCGGCAGAUUAGCUAGUUGGUAAGGUAACGGCUUACCAAGGCUACGAUCUGUAACCGGUCUUAGAGGACGGUCGGUCACACUGACACUGAAUAACGGGUCAGACUCCUACGGGAGGCAGCAGUCGGGAAUUUUGGGCAAUGGGCGAAAGCCUGACCCAGCAACGCCGCGUGAAGGAUGAAGUAUUUCGGUAUGUAAACUUCGAAAGAAUAGGAAGAAUAAAUGACGGUACUAUUUAUAAGGUCCGCUAACUACGUGCCAGCAGCCGC